GCAAUAGCUACUUGCAUCAUUGUAGAUAUGAUGCAAGAUCGACUAUGUCGAAUAAAAUUCUAGGUAGAAUUAUGAUAAUGACAUUGUCUGCCUAUGUGUCUUGACCAAAUUACGUGCCAGCAGUCGCGGUAAUACGUAGAAGACUAGUGUUAUUCAUGUGUAAUCGGUUUAAAGGGUACCUAGACGGUAAAUCAAGCCUAUAAAAAAUAUAAAUGAAGGGACUAAUUUACUAGAGUUACUUAUGAGGGGGUAUUAAAGUACUACUGGUGUAGAGAUGAAAUUCUGUCAUACCAGCAAAACGACGGCACAGGUAUAGGCGAAAGCAUCCCCUUAUGUGAUAACUGACGUUGAGGGACGAAGGCUUUGUGUAGCGACCAGGAUUAGAUACCCCAGUAGUCAAAGCAGAAAAUGAUGAAUGUCAUAGAUUAGAUAUAUAAGUUUAUUCUAUAAAUGAAAGUGUAAGCAUUCCACCUCAAGAGUAAUUUGGCAACAUUGGAACUGAAAUCAUUAGACCGUUUCUGAAACCAGUAGUGAAGUAUGUUGUUUAAUUUGAUGCCCCGCAAAAAACCUUACCACAAUUUGAAUAUUUAUAUCUUUUAUUGUUUUUCUUCUGAUUUUUCUUCUGAUUUUACUUCAGAUGAAGUAAAAGAAAGAAGAAAAAUAAAAAGAGGCAAUAAGAUAUAU
rnacentral:rRNA from 1 species